AUGCACCAUCGGCCAGCCAAGACCACGCCGUGGUGGAUUUGGACGGGACGCCAGAUCCGCGGCCGCCGUGACCCAUCUUCAGGCAGAGCCAUCCACCAGUUCAUCCAUGGAGUGAUGCCACCAUCCAUGCACGAAGGGAAGCCCAUCGCCGUCUUGGACCGCUGCCCGCCGUCGCCCAGGCUAGGGGCGCCGCCCUGCCUACUGCCCACGAGCGCACCACAAGAGACGCCCCUGCCGCCUCAAGGGGAUCCCGCGGCAGAUACGCCCGUCCUAGCGCCUUGGCACCGGGCCCGCCGCCACCGCGGACCUCGCCGGCGGCAGCGGCGGCAGGAGAAUGGCCGAGGGAGGCUGCUGGCGGCGCUGGUUUUUUGGCCCCCUGGCGUCGCCCAGGGAGGCGAUGCGAGGGGGUCACGUCGUCUCCAGAAGUUAGUAGCAACGCAUGAUGUUGUGUUCUUGUUGACUGACACAAGGGAAAGCAGGUGGCUUCCAACACUUCUCCGUGCGAAUGAAAACAAGAUUGCUAUUACUGCAGCCCUAGGAUUUGAUAGCUACCUUGCCAUGCGACACGGAGCUGGUCCAGGAACAUAUUCUGAAACUUCAAAUGUGGUUGCUGCCACAACUAAGCUGUCUGCAGAAGAUGUUCUUCGCCGUCAAAGGCUGGGCUGUUACUUUUGCAACGACGUUAUUGCUCCAGUUGAUUCAGUCUCCAACCGAACACUGGACCAACAGUGCACAGUAACACGACCUGGACUGGCCUCCAUUGCAUCUGGGAUACAUGCUCCAGGAGAUACUUCUGGCGCGACCAGUGAGCGUCCAUUUGAUCUGUUGCCGCACCAGAUACGGGGAUCAAUAUCGCAGUACAACUUAUUAACCCUCUUGGGAUAUGCCUCAAGCAGAUGCGUUGCAUGUUCCAACGCGGCGAUCAAUGAACCAACCUAUCUAGAAGACCUUACCGGCCUGACGGACUUGAUGAAAUGCACGGAUUAUUCUCAGGUUGAGUGGGUAGAUGAAGUCAAAGAUGACGAGUUCGCCGACAUCUGA
rnacentral:rRNA from 1 species